rnacentral:rRNA from 1 species
UACGGAAUGUGCAAACGUUAUUCGGAAUCACUGGGCUUAAAGAGUCCGUAGGCGGCAUGUUAGGUGAGGUGUGAAAUCCCUCGGCUCAACCGAGGAACGUCGAUCGAUACUGGCAGGCUUGAAUUCGGGAGAGGGAUGCGGAAUUCCAGGUGUAGCGGUGAAAUGCGUAGAUAUCUGGAGGAACACCGGUGGCGAAGGCGGCUUUCUGGACAAAUACCGACGCUGAGGCACGAAAGCUAGGGGAGCAAACAGG